UUUUUUUUUUUUUUUUUUUUUUUUUUUUUUGCCUUUUUGCCUUUUUGCCUUUUCUUGAGCUGCUCCCGUGGCAUAUGGAGGUUUCCAGGCUAGGGGUCUAAUCAGAGCUAUAGCCACUGGCCUACACCAGAGCCACGGCAACGCUGGAUCCUUAAUCCACUGAGCAAGGCCAGGGAUCGAACCUGCAACCUCAUGGUUCCUAGUCGGAUUCGUUAACCACUACACCAUGACGGGAACUCCUCACAGAUUUUUUUUUAAAAAAAGUUUUUCACAGGGCUUUACAGCCGGGAGGAAUUUCAGAGUUUGUCUCAUCCAGACUCAUUUCACAGUUGGGCCACCUGAACCCCAGAGGGAGGCACAUUUCUGUUUUGAGGAACUGAAAGCUUCCUGCUCUGUGCCUCAACCCUGGCGAGAAGCCCUUUCCCCACACCGUCCACGACUUGCCUCAAGGGGCUGCGUCUCCUUCGCCGCAUAUUUGGGGAUAGAGCGUGGGCUGGGGGGCCGCUUUUCCCAGGUUUAGGCAGGGGAUGGAGUGAAUUCCAGCUGGGGCUUCCCCCUCCAUCAAAACAGUCAGCCCUGCAGGCCCGGGAAAGCAACUGAUUUCUGGGGGUUGAUCAGGUAGUUACUGGAAUCCAAAGCUUUGUUCCACGGAUGUUAGCUUCCUGGGGCUGCUGCAACAAACCACACUGAUUUGGUGGCUUAAGGCAGCAGAAGUGUAUUCUCUGCAGUUAUGGAGGCCGGAAGUCUGAAAUUAGCCUCACUGGGCUGUGAUCCAGGUGUGGCAGGGCCACACUGCCUCGCAGGCUCCAGUGCAGGGUCCUUCCUGACUGUUCUCAGCUUGAGGCCGAGUCUCUGCGGUCUCUGCCUCCAUCUUCACAUAGCCUCUCCUGUGUCUGUGCUGAACCUCCUUCUGCCUCCUUCUCAUACUUACGACUGCCUGUAGGGACCACCAGGAUUCUCUCUCCAGAAUCGUUGUCCACUAAGGGAAUACAGUCACCGGUUCCUGGGCUUUGGGGCCUGAUAUCUUUGGGGCCAUUCUUAAGCCAACCACAAACUCUCUCUCCAGGGCAAAUGUGCCCAAUGCCUGGGAAUGCCUCAAUGCCUGGGCCUGGUGGCCCCCUGUGGGAGUUUCCAGAAGCCAGAGGUGGGAGGAGAAGGAGGCUGAAGCAACGAGCGAGGUGGUGCAGUCUCCCUGAGGACGCCCUGACCUGAGGGUGGGAGAGCUCCCGUCUGGGCUGAUGAGAGAGUUCCAGAACCAGGCAGUGAUAACUACUGGACAAUAAUGAGGACGUGCCAAAUGCCAAUGAAUUGUCUACAUCAAAAAGAUUUUUAAAAAAUGAAGGAGUUCCCAUUGUGGCGCAGUGCAAACGAAUCCGACCAGGAACCAUAAGGUUGCAGGUUUGAUCCCUGGCCUCGCUCAGUGGGUUAAGGAUCCAGCAUUGCCAUGAGCUGUAGCUCUGAUUCCAGCCCUAGCCUGGGAACUUCCAUAUGCCAGGGGUGUGGCCCUAAAAAGCAAAAAAAAAAAAAAAAAAAAAAAAAAAAAAAAGAAGAAGAAGAAGAUGGGAAAUAAAAUCCACCCAGGCUCAGCCUUCUAUCUGCCAGAGCUCAGCCUGACCCAGGGGCUCGUCCCUUGUCUGCCCCACUUCAGCUGCAGGGCUGUUGUCGAAUGUGGUGGCUGUCAGGAUCAACCCCUUGCUCACUACUGAAAACAAGUGAGAGGCUUUCUAGGGAGCAGCCCUGAGACAGCCUGCCCACUCCUCCCUGGAAGGUGGCCAGACAGCACACGCAGGACACGGUGCUUGGGGAGGCAGCCCCUCGACAAGAGGGCCUGAGAUCAGAUGGCAUUUGAGAGAAAGGUGAGACAGAGCCAGACCUCCCCACAGAGCAAACCACGUCGGUCUCAACUCUUAAAAGUCAGGACAGUUUGCAGGUGGCGAGUAGGUGGAGGGAGGGAGGAGCGGGGGAGCUGAGGAGGAGAAAAACCGAAAGGCGAGAGUAAUAUCUGAUUCAGCAAAGGUUCUGCCCACACAGGAUCUGCCCCGUGAAAAAUAGAAACCCAACACUGAGCAGGGGCAGACUUGCAAACUGAGAUGACAAAUGGGACCGGGGAGGCUUUCUGCCCGAGUGCACAAGCGCCCAUGCGUGCACUCGCACACUCAUGUGCGCACACACACACACAUGCACACACACACGCGGGGCAGGAGAGCAGCAAGGCUAUUCUGGCAGAGGCAGCCAGUCCAGCCAGCACCGUGGGUGCCAAGGGUACAGCACAUAAGCUCCCCAAGUGACGCAGGUCUAUGAUCUGGACACAGGCAGCUGGCUCACAUGGCCCAGAUGCAGGCACACCUGUGCCGGCUUGGACUCAGCCCAGAGUCAUGAGGCGGCGACCCUGGCAAGCUGCCCUCACUUCCACUGGACACCCCGGGCCAAGGCGCUUGGGGCCUCCUCAGGCUACUCCUUCUCCUGCGGAGAGCUCAGAGGGAGGGUCCCAGAGCACAGAAGCACAGGACAUGGUGGCCCUGGGGCCUCCCAGGGCUGGGGUUCGCUGGCACCCUCUCAGCCAGCUCCUGGCCUCUGUCAGACGCCUGCAGGCCUGUGAACACAGCCCAGCCUGCGUGCCUGCUCGGAAGCCACACUUCCUUCUGCAAGCUUUUUAAAAAACUGAGGUGAGAUCUGCAGAAAAGCAAAUGAACCAGUUUAAAGGGAACAUUUCAGUAGCAUUGAGUGCAUUCACAAGGCUGUGCAGCCUCAACCUCUGUCCAGUUCCAAAACAUUCUCAAAGGAAGCCUCAUCUCCAAUAGCAUUACCCCUCUCCCUCUCCAGCCCCUGACAACCAGGAACCCACUCUCUGACUGUGGAUGUGCCUGUUCUGGAUGUUUCCCAUCCAUGGAAUUCCACCCUGUGUGUCCUUCUGUGUCUGCUUCUCUCACUGAGUGUCAUGGUCUCCAGGUCCGUCCACGUGGUAGGAGAGUCAGGGCUUCUCUCCUUUUCAGGCUGAGUGAUAGUUCUGUGAGUGGAGGGGCCACGUGGUGUUUAUCCACCAUCUGCUGAUGGACACUCGGGCUGCAUCCCCCUUCUGCCUGCUGUGAAUGCAGCUAUACACUCGUAUGUUUGAGGAUCUCUUCAGUUCUCUGGGGAACACACCUAGGAGCGAACUUGCUCCGUCAUUUGACUCCCUUUCCACUGAUGCCCCAGGCCAGGCCUCCCAAGUCUGCACCCUGCAGCUGGCUUCCGGAAGUGUAGCUCCUUAUAAUGGGCAGGUGCACAUCUAUGGGGAUGAUGAGGAAUGAGGAUCUUCAGAGGGGGCACCCCCAAAACCAAGCAAUCAAGGUAAAUGAUAUCUUAACAGGCUGUUGUAAAAAAUCAAAAUGAAAGCACAAAACUCACCACCGACUGUAAAAUUAAGACAGGAUUGGGAGUUCCCUGGUGGCACAGUGGGUUAAGGACCUGGUCUUGUCACUGUAGCGGCUCAAGUCGCCACUGUGAUGUGAGUUUGAUCCCUGGCCCAGGAAUUUCUGCAUGCCAUGGGCGUGGCCAAAAAAAAGAAAAUCAAGACAGGAUUGUCAACAGUGCCCAAGUCAGGAGGAAAAAUCAGAAUGACUGAUCCUGUCUGGAUUUAUUUAAUUUUUAAAAAGAAUUCAGUGAACUUUUAUUAUAUUUAUAGUUGUACAACCAUCAUCAAAAUAUUUAUUUAUUUAUUUAUUUAUUUGGUCUUUUCUAGGGCCGCACCCACGGCAUAUGGAGUUCCCAUCGUGGCACAGUGGUUAACGAAUCCGACUAGGAACCAUGAGAUUGCAGGUUCGGUCCC
ensembl:lncRNA